rnacentral:snRNA from 1 species
GGGUAUUAAGGUGGUCUGCCUGACAUCUGUCAGUCGUCCCAUUCGUCACCUGGAGUGGGUGCCCCUUCCUUACUCUCUGCCCCCAUGUGUCUCUCUUGAGGCUGCAUGCUCAGUCAAAGCAGACGACCUUCCUUCACAGAGGAAGACGGCUCUUUGAUCAAGGAUAUAGGACUAACUUCACUCCCUGUCAGAACCCAAGGGUCGGGGCCUUUAUGUCCAACACAUUGCAUUGGUCACCAGUGGGGAGGGGCUCUGGGGAAACGAGGGGAAGGAGACAAAAAUGGAUCUGUGCUCAGCAGGAGUUAUGCUGUGGGCU